GACGAAGGAUGCAAGCGUUAUCCGGAUUCAUUGGGUUUAAAGGGUGCGUAGGCGGCCCUGUAAGUCAGUGGUGAAAUCUCUCAGCUUAACUGAGAAACUGCCAUUGAUACUGCGGGGCUUGAGUACAGAUGAUGUUGGCGGAAUAUGACAUGUAGCGGUGAAAUGCAUAGAUAUGUCAUAGAACACCGAUUGCGAAGGCAGCUGACAAAACUGUAACUGACGCUGAGGCACGAAAGUGUGGGGAUCAAACAGG
rnacentral:rRNA from 1 species